rnacentral:lncRNA from 1 species
AUCUUAUUCCUAGGUUUGGACUGCCCUUAUGAAUCGGCUCAGAUAAUGGGCCAGUGUUUGUGGCUGACUUGGUACAGAAGACAGCAAAGGCAUUAGGAAUCACUUGGAAGCUACAUGCCACCUACCGACCUCAGAGUUCCGGAAAGGUCGAGCCAAUGAUUCGGACUAUUAAAAAUAGUUUAGGGAAAGUAUGUCAGGAAGCAGGAUUAAAGUGGAUACAGGCCCUUCCUAUGGUAUUGUUUAAAAUUAGAUGCACUCCUUCUAAGAAAACAGGAUACUCCCCUUAUGAAAUACUGUAUCAUAGACCUCCUCCUAUACUAUGGGGGCUUCCAGGCAUUCCCUGAGAGUUAGGUGAAAUUGAAUUACAGUGACAGCUACAGGCUUUAGGAAAAAUUACACAAACAAUCUCAACUUGGGUAAAUGAGAGAUGUCCCAUCAGCUUAUUCUCCCCAGUUCACCUUUUCUCUCCAG